rnacentral:rRNA from 1 species
GACGAACGCUGGCGGCGUGCUUAACACAUGCAAGUCGAACGGAAAGGCCCUGCUUUUGUGGGGUGCUCGAGUGGCGAACGGGUGAGUAACAUGUGAGUAACCUGCCCUUGACUUUGGGAUAACUUCAGGAAACUGGGGCUAAUACCGGAUAGGAGCUCGUGCUGCAUGGUGGGGGUUGGAAAGUUUCGGCGGUGGGGGAUGGACUCGCGGCUUAUCAGCUUGUUGGUGGGGUAGUGGCUUACCAAGGCUUUGACGGGUGGCCGGCCCGAGAGGGUGACCGGCCACCUUGGGACUGAGCUACGGCCCAGAGUCCUACGGGAGGCAGCAGUGGGGAAUAUUGCACAAUGGGCGGAAGCCUGAUGCAGCAACGCCGCGUGCGGGAUGACGGCCUUCGGGUUGUAAACCGCUUUCGCCUGUGACGAAGCGUGAGUGACGGUAAUGGGUAAAGAAGCACCGGCUAACUACGUG